rnacentral:rRNA from 1 species
GACGAACGCUGGCGGCGUGCUUAACACAUGCAAGUCGAACGGAAAGGCCCUGCUUUUGUGGGGUUCUCGAGUGGCGAACGGGUGUGUAACACGUGAGUAACCUGCCCUUGACUUUGGGAUAACUUCAGGAAACUGGGGCUAAUACCGGAUAGGAGCUCCUGCUGCAUGGUGGGGGUUGGAAAGUUUCGGCGGUUGGGGAUGGACUCGCGGCUUAUCAGCUUGUUGGUGGGGUAGUGGCUUACCAAGGCUUUGACGGGUAGCCGGCCUGAGAGGGUGACCGGCCACAUUGGGACUGAGAGACGGCCCAGACUGCUACGGGAGGCAGCAGUGGGGAAUAUUGCACACUGGGCGGAAGCCUGAUGCAGCAACGCCGCGUGCGGGAUGACGGCCUUCGGGUUGUAAACCGCUUUCGCCUGUGACGAAGCGUGAGUGACGGUAAUGGGUAAAGAAGCACCGGCUAACUACGUG